GAUGAACGCUGGCGGCGUGCCUAAUACAUGCAAGUCGAGCGAACGGACGAGAAGCUUGCUUCUCUGAUGUUAGCGGCGGACGGGUGAGUAACACGUGGAUAACCUACCUAUAAGACUGGGAUAACUUCGGGAAACCGGAGCUAAUACCGGAUAAUAUUUUGAACCGCAUGGUUCAAAAGUGAAAGACGGUCUUGCUGUCACUUAUAGAUGGAUCCGCGCUGCAUUAGCUAGUUGGUAAGGUAACGGCUUACUAAGGCAACGAUGCAUAGCCGACCUGAGAGGGUGAUCGGCCACACUGGAACUGAGACACGGUCCAGACUCCUACGGGAGGCAGCAGUAGGGAAUCUUCCGCAAUGGGCGAAAGCCUGACGGAGCAACGCCGCGUGAGUGAUGAAGGUCUUCGGAUCGUAAAACUCUGUUAUUAGGGAAGAACAUAUGUGUAAGUAACUGUGCACAUCUUGACGGUACCUAAUCAGAAAGCCACGGCUAACUACGUG
rnacentral:rRNA from 1 species